CUCUGUCUCUCUCUCCUGCUGGCGCCGGAGGCGGGUCUGACGACGCGACGGCCGCGGCACGGGUCGCCGCUCCGGCGAGCGGGGCAGCGCUUCCUGGCACGGCGGAGGCGGGGGAAGCGGCGCGGCCCGGCGCGGCGGAGACGGGGAAAGCAGCGCCGACGCGGCUGCACGCCCCGGCUCCGCGCGAGGCGGGGAGCCGGCACCGGCGCGUCCCGACGCGGCGGCUGAGCGACGCGGCGCAAUGCAGGUCAACUCUGUGUGGCCAAGGGUGAGUUGCAAAUGGCGUCUGACUCAUUCAAGAUUGUGUUGGAUGAAGAUGGAAACAAAUCAUGGUAAAUGUUCUUCCAUCAGAUGCAAAGCAAGAUCCAGAUGUGAUGGCUGCCAAUGUGUGUUGGGAGAAUUGAUGGGAAUUUUUGUCUUAAAUCCUACAGUUGAUUAGCAGUCGGAGGAUCCUACGCAGGUGAAUCAAGUGAUGCAUGGGGUUACUCAGGGGCAAAUUCUGGUAAUCCACAAUGCUUUCUUUAUAGUUUGGAUCAAGAACCAGCUGUGCGGCCAGAUAAUUGGAUCUGAUUGAUGCAGUUAAGUCCAGGUAAUGCAUAUACAUUUUUGGUGUUCAUGUCCAGAGAAGUAGUUUGUUUCAGAAACUGAUUGAACGAUGCUAGGUAUUUGUUCCCCCUUCUGUCCUUGCUAUUUAUUCUCUUUGCUAACCUGUUUGACAUUUUCAGAGCUUGCCGAGAAGUGAGUAGAUCUUGCUGUUUGACCAUGAUAAGCCUGCUGUUAUUACUUAUCCAGAUAUUGCCUUGAACCGUAAAUUAUAUAUUCAUACUUUGUUGUUAUAUAUAAGAAUUAUGUAGCACUGUGACUGAAGUCAACUAUAGAUAUGUCUUGCCAAAUGUUACAUAUCCUUAGAAAAAUGGACUUUACCCUCAACAUAAUAACUAUGUUACAUA